rfam:Capsicum annuum cultivar Zunla-1 chromosome 9, whole genome shotgun sequence
AGCUCAUGAUUUGGGCAUUGGUCUAGCUUUCCAUUAAACCUCUCCCAUGCUUUAAACAUUGGUUCUCCAUUCAAUUGACAAAAGCUUACAAUAUCAUACCGCU